rnacentral:rRNA from 1 species
UAAUACGGAGGGUGCAAGCGUUAUCCGGAUUCACUGGGUUUAAAGGGUGCGUAGGUGGGUUGGUAAGUCAGUGGUGAAAUCUCCGUGCUUAACAUGGAAACUGCCAUUGAUACUACUGGUCUUGAAUUUUCUGGAGGUAAGCGGAAUAUGUCAUGUAGCGGUGAAAUGCUUAGAUAUGACAUAGAACACCAAUUGCGAAGGCAGCUUACUACAGGGAUAUUGACACUGAGGCACGAAAGCGUGGGGAUCAAACAGGAUUAGAUACCCUGGUAGUCCACGCCCUAAACGAUGGAUACUCGACAUUUGCGAUACACAGUAAGUGUCUGAGCGAAAGCAUUAAGUAUCCCACCUGGGAAGUACGACCGCAAGGUUG